UUGUUUAUUUUUAAAGUUACUAAAAUAAAUAAUCUUACAAAUAUAAAAUUUAAUUAGAAACUAUUCUCUCUACAGAUAAUCAUGUCAAGUACCAAUCCCAUAGUCCGAAUCUACGAUACCAAUAGGUGGACCAGUGCCAAUUACAAAGACUGACUCCAAAAUCUGAGAAUUAUUCUCAGCUCCCAGAAACUUACCCAUGUCCUAGAUCAGGAAGCGCCUGUGUUAUCUAUUGGAAAAUAUAUCCCAAAAGUCAAUCGUC
rnacentral:lncRNA from 1 species